AGAGUUUGAUCAUGGCUCAGGAUGAACGCUAGCGACAGGCUUAACACAUGCAAGUCGAGGGGCAGCGGGGAGUAGCAAUACUCUGCCGGCGACCGGCGCACGGGUGAGUAACGCGUAUGCAACUUACCUAUCAGAGGAGAAUAGCUCAUCGAAAGAUGAAUUAAUGCUCCAUAAAACAGGGGUCCCGCAUGGGAAUAUUUGUUAAAGAUUCAUCGCUGAUAGAUAGGCAUGCGUUCCAUUAGGCAGUUGGCGGGGUAACGGCCCACCAAACCGACGAUGGAUAGGGGUUCUGAGAGGAAGGUCCCCCACAUUGGUACUGAGACACGGACCAA
rnacentral:rRNA from 1 species